rnacentral:lncRNA from 1 species
CCUACUGUUCUCAAGUAUACAUCAGUGAUGAUUUUAAUUAGACUAGCUUUUUCUAAACACACUCAUUACACACAACUUGAGUUGCUUUAAUACUAUUCAAUGUCCAACUUUUAUUCUCACUUGUCACUUUUUAAUCUGAUUUCAUGAUGAAAGACCAGUUCUGGCAAACUCUCCUUUAAAUUAAAAGUGAAUGCAUUAUGAUUUCAUUUAUAUGAAGUUUAAAGCAAAACAAAUCUAAUUGUAUCAGAAUAGUGCCUACCCUAAGGGUUGAGGGUUGAUCAGAAAGAGAUAUGAGGAAGUUAUCUGGGAAGUUAUCUGGGAAGAGAGAAUUGUUUUAUAUCAUAAUAAAGAUGUGGCUUUCUCUGGUGUACUCAUUUGUCAAAAUUGUAAAGCUAAUAUGUAGGCAUUUCAAGGUACGUUAUAUAUGUAGUGAUAGAUAUAGGUAUAUAGUGAUAAAUGAGAGAUACAGGUGAAAAAAGAAUGACAAAAAUAAUGAUAGCCAUUGCAGUUGUAUAAUGCAGGACAUGAGGAUUCUUUAUACUGUUUUGUUUACUUUGUACAUAUUUGAAAUUUUCAUAAUAAACAGUUUUUCAUAAUAAAGAGCUUUUAAAAGCCAAA